CAGUCGCCGCGGUAAUACGGAGGGUGCAAGCGUUAAUCGGAAUUACUGGGCGUAAAGCGCACGCAGGCGGUUUGUUAAGUCAGAUGCAAAAUCCCCGGGCUCAACCUGGGAACUGCAUCUGAUACUGGCAAGCUUGAGUCUCGUAGAGGGGGGUAGAAUUCCAGGUGUAGCGGUGAAAUGCGUAGAGAUCUGGAGGAAUACCGGUGGCGAAGGCGGCCCCCUGGACGAAGACUGACGCUCAGGUGCGAAAGCGUGGGGAGCAAACAGGAUUAGAUACCCGGGUAGUCCCUGUCUCUUAUAC
rnacentral:rRNA from 1 species